GGAUGUGUGGCCCAGUGGUAGAGCACUUGCCUAGCAUGCUCGAAGGCCUUGGGCUCAAUCCCAGCACCUCCA
rnacentral:tRNA from 1 species